rnacentral:lncRNA from 1 species
UAUAUAUAUAUAUAUAUAUAUAUAUAUAGAGAGAGAGAGAGAGAGAGAGAGAGAGAGAGAGAGAGAGAGAGUUGAGUUAGAAUACUAUCGAUAGCAAACGGGCUUGUUGCCACCCAUUUGUUUUUAAUAAUAGAGCUUGCAAAUCGACGAUCGGCACCGUUGAACAUGAUUUAUACCACUUGAAGUGUUUAGAAAUCAAAUUUCAUAUCUUUUCGACAUUAUUUGCCUAAUGAUCAAAGGGUUUCAAAAUUUGUAAUUUUAAUGGUCGAUAUGAGCCGUUUUCUCGUUUAACGGUGUAAAGAUAUCCAAAUCAAUUAAAUUUUUGUUAGAAAAUUUUUUAAACUAUUUAAAACAAGAUCUAUACUCUUGAUCUUGAUUAUGAGACUCCUAUCAUCAUUUUUUAGAGAAUAUUCAUUUUCAGCCGUUUAUUUUUGUGUCCACUCGAUAGAUAAGAGAAUAAUAUCGAAAAUGUAUGAAAUUUGAUUUAUAAACACUCCAAGUGGUAUAGAUCAUAUUCAACGGUGUCGAUCGUCGAUUUAGAGGUUCCAUCAUCGAAAACAAAUGGGUGGCAAUAGAGCCCGUUUGCUAUCGAUAGUAUUGUAGCUCAACUCUAUAUCUAUAU